AUCAAAUGAGAAAUAUCGAAAGACGCAUUAUGCGCAACUAGUAGACACGGUUUUUCCAGAUUAUUUGAAAAUUUUCGAAAUGCACGUAAGGCAUCUCGUCAAUUGACUGUUGAUACUUCAUCUUGGUGGAAGUAAAGAUGUCCAUUAAUGUUAUUUCAUCCAGUAUGCUCCGAAUUUCUUUUGCAGGGGUCAGAUAAAUGCUAAAUUUGAAAUCAUUGCACUGAGCUGCAAUUUGUGAAAUUUCAUCAUUUUUGUGGAAUCCGGAAGUUUCAAGGUCAAAGUAGACAAUCGUUGAAGUUGUUGACGAAAUUUUACUGGAGGCAUCAAUGUGAGAAACUUCCAAGUUGAUACUCUCA
rnacentral:misc_RNA from 1 species